AAUGAACGUUGGCGGCGUGGAUUAGGCAUGCAAGUCGGACGGGCCGCAAGGCCAGUGGCGCAAGGGUGAGUAAGGCGACGGUAACCAACCCCGCGGAUGGGCAUAGCCGGGGGAAACCCCGGGUAAUUCCCGGCGACGUGGCGUCCCGGCAUCGGGGUGCCACCAAAGAUUCAUCGCCGCGGGACGGGCCGUCGUGGUAUUAGGUAGUUGGCGGGGUGACGGCCCACCAAGCCUGCGAUGCCUACCGGGCGUGCGAGCGNGGCCCGGCACACUGGGACUGAGACACUGCCCAGACUCCUACGGGAGGCUGCAGUCGAGAAUCUUCGGCAAUGGGCGCAAGCCUGACCGAGCGACGCCGCGUGGAGG
rnacentral:rRNA from 1 species